rnacentral:lncRNA from 1 species
CUGGUUCUCUGAGUAGCGACCCAAUUUCUCCUUCAUCUGGGCUAGAUCAGUCAUAGAAAACGGAACAUGUACCCGAGCCAGCCCAUCUGACGAGGGGACCUCUCUCAUAGGGAGGAGGGGAGCCCUGUCUCCAUAGCUCAGUCCGCUCCCGAAUGGCCUAUUCCACACUGAAGAGUCAACAGCUGUGCGUCCACAGAGAUUGCCCGACCAAGAGCACUCAGUUGUAACACUGAGAGUCAUUGGAGUUCAGAAGCAAGGCAAAAGCCAAGAUGACUUCUGGUGAUUCAAGAUGCAGUGAAUGGCCUUGGCUUCUGUGGUGUCUAAACAAGAUCUAAGUGUUUGCUCUACAGCACUUGAUUCUGCCACCUUCAGGGAAGUUGGAACAAUAUUCUCAUUUGCCCUUUCCACAAGGGUCAGUCUUUAUAUGACUGGGAUAGAUAUUCUCCUAAAUGAUGGAUGUGUCUGAGGCCCGUCAGUUACUGUCAAUCUGGUUUAGCCUACAUGAUGAGGUGGUUUAUUGGAGUGUGGCUACUGCACAUACUACAGCUUCUUGGAAUCACAGCUAUUCAUCCAACGAUGUUAUGCUUCAUGGAUGGGAGGUACGGAAUAUCACAUUCUCUGAAGAAUCAAAACUUUGGGUGAUCCAACAGGCCACUGAACAUCAACAAAAGUUGGGCCCAUCAUACAACAAAAUGUCCUAA